rnacentral:lncRNA from 1 species
CCAUGUGCUGGGUAUAUAAUUCAAGAGGGUAUUUUGCUCUGUAAAUGUAAGGUUGUUCUGUACAGUUCUGUUGAUGGUUUCAAUUACCUUCUGCCAAAAAAAGUGUUUUAAAUGAGUUAUCACUCUCUGACACCAGAGGGCGCUGUAGAGUUCCAUCUAAUUUGAGUAGUAGAGUGCUUGGUAUCUGGUGGGCAGGGCUUGUGUGCUUUGGUCAGGAAUCAGUCCCUCCCUUCAGUGUGUGUUCAGUUGAGAAUGUCAGUUAACAGAGACCCAAACUCUCUUUUUGUUUCUUGCCUCAGGCUUGCCUCACAUUGCUGUAUUUAGUUUCUCUUCUUAUGUCCUUUUCUUGAAGUGCAACCUGUGUUCAUCUGUGGUACAAGAGGCUUCGACACGGAAACGUCAGGAUUAUAGUAAACCUGCCAAAUAAAGGUUUGGUGAGAUGAAGGAACUUAAACCUUGUAAAGUUGACCUGAAUAGUGAAAUAUGUGGGGCUUGCUAGCUUGGGAAGUCCCAUAUCUUUCACUCCAUAAGACGCACCUGACCAUAGGACGCACCUAGUUUUUAGAGGAGGAAAGGGGGAAAGCCCCGUUUUUUUGGGGGGGGAGAGUCAGCUCAAAGUUGUGCAGGUACUUUUGCAAAGGGGGAAAGCCCCUUUUCUGAGGAUCAGCUCAAAGUUGUUGAGCUUACUUUGCAAAGGGAAAAAAUACUGUUUUUAUGGGGUUCAACUCACAGUUCUGCAGCUUCUUUAGGAAAGGAAAGCGAGCUGUUUCUACAGUUUCCAGACAGAUAAUCUAAUUAGCCAGUCACAUGUUGCUGGGGAAACAAACAGCCUCCAUCUGUGGAACAUUCAACAAUGGAGGCCUGGGCAAGGGGCCGGGGCCGGAAAGGGAGCCAGCGAUCGACCACACAUUCGCUCCAUAAGACGCACAGACAUUUCCCCUUACUUUUUAGGAGGAAAAAAAGUGUGUCUUAUGCCAGUCAAACAGGUCUUCCCUGCAAAAAAAAUCCCCAGAUUUCACAACAUUGGAGUAGUGUGAGUGGGGGCUGGGGGCACCACAUUGGGGACCCUGGGCAGAGUAGUUGGGGCAAUCUCAUCCUUUAUAUCCAGCCUGUGGCUCCAGACCAAAUUAUCACUCAGGAGAGCUAUGGCCUGGUCAGCACACAGGCAUGUGACCCCCCCAGCUGUCCUGAGCCUGCUCUAGCUCAGAAAUCACACACCUACUCCCCAAGCUAGCAAGCCCCACCUGGGAUGUGGGUCCUUGCCCGCCUUCCCUCAGAGCUAACAGCUGUAACUUCAGGAAUCCUGAGAUCACGGGUGGUACGUCCCAUUUCGCCCCUUGAGGCAAAACAGGAAGUGCCACCCUGCUCUGCCACACCACCACGCCACUCACCACCAAUGCGCCACCUGCUGGUGGCACUGCAGCUUCUUGGAAGAUCUGCUGUAUCAAGCUACUUAAAGUAGACAUCAGUGAAUCUGUCAAUGUCAGUUUCUCCCUGUUUCUCAUUCAUCCAGUUUUAAGUUCAGUUCUCCUCACAUCCACAUCUGUUUGUGGUUAUAAUUAUUUUGAAACGGUCUCAUGAAAAUUCAUUUGAAGUUCUCACACUAGAUACAUUUUUGCAAAGCCAUUUUGUGCUGUGGAAUGUAUUUUAUAUGUUAUUUUCACGAAUAUAUAUACACACUCCCCCCCCCCCCAAUGUGUGCAUUUUCCUACAUAUUACUUGAGUGGAGAGCUGCAUUGCAAAAUUCAGAAAAGUGCAAAUUUUGCAGGAGGAUUCUGUUUUCGUUUGGGUCUUGUUCCCUUUUUUUCUGUCCCUAAUCGAGACAGGAAAGAGAAGACCUUAGAAUUUGCGUGACCACGAUCACAUGAUAGGGCUUCUGAACAUGACCAGAUUUCAAGAAUAGUACAGAGUGGUAUCCUUGGUACAAGUUUGUGACUUAAAAGGUAAAAAGGUAAAGGACCCUUGACAGUUAAGUCCAGUCGCCAACGACUCUGGGGUUACGGUGCUCAUCUCACUUUACUGGCUGAGGGAACCAGCAUUUGUCUGCAGAGUUUUUCCAGGUCAUGUGGCCAGCAUGACUAAGCCGCUUCUGGCAAAACCAGAGCAGCGCACUGAAACAUCAUUUACCUUCCCACUGCAGUGGUACCUAUUUAUCUACUUGCACUUUGCCGUGCUUUCGAACUGCUUGGUUGGCAGGAGCUGGGACCGAGCAAUGGUAGCUCACCCCAUCACAGGGAUUCGAACCGCCGACCUUCCAAUCGGCAAGCCCUGGGCUCAGUGGUUUAGACUUCCCAAUUGCUGAAUUGGCACACUGUAAUGUCACUGUACUUUUCUUUUCCAUUUUUGCAAACAUUUUGGUUACAGUGUUGACCUAAAAUCUGAAACAAGACAGUGCUUUGUAGGAAAGUGUAAUUUAGGGCAAUCUGUUGUGCAGUGUAAUUAUGUAGCCAGUACAUUAUAUGAAUGAAUAAUGUUUGUGCAAUGCUGAUGGAAGCCUAAUGAGGAAAUGGUGCGUUUGGAAAUGAUAUGAUACAUUAUGGUGGGAGCCUAUAUAGCUAUUGCUAUAAAAAAACUGUAGCCUAGUGCUGUAUAAAUUAUUUAGAGCCGUGGAAAUGAGCUGCCAGUGAAGUCCAUGUGGAUAAGCUCCCAAGUCAAACGGCAUACUGAGUCCCAUCAUGUCCAGAAUGCAACACAUUAGGAUGUCUGUUUCCAUUUUCAAUUUACAGAAGGAGGGCCUGGAGCUUUGAAAAUGGCACUUUUUGCUAUUUUGACAGUGCUGAACACACAGAAAGGAACACACACACACAAACACACACACACACACAAACACUUUUGGGGGUGAAGUCUUUCAGAUGCAUUCAUAUUCAAAGCGGAUUAAGGAGUAAAUAAGUAGUAAAUAAGAAUUCUCGGUUUAAAAAUCCCAGGGUGAAAUUCAGUGUUGCUUUAUCACAGACAUUCCCUCUGCACAAGUAUUUUACCUUGCCAGAUGGUACAGUCCCCUUCUUCUCUCUUUGAACACUAUUCUGGGGGAUUCUUCUGACCCAUCCAGGCCAAUUUCAGGGUUUGUGGGUGAAUCCAAUCCCCAGUGUUUAUGUGCUGAAACUUAGGUAGCCAAAUCCAAAUUUCAGACAUUAAUAAGGGACUCAAAACUAUAGCAUUCUGGUUUCACCCAAGAAGUCCCAUCAGUGAAAAUCCUGGGCAGGUAUACCAUGUAUGCAGCUUGCAACCAGCGGUGUGCACCACUUCUGUGUAUUUGCUGAACUGUAAAGUGAAAAUAAGUGAUUGGAUUAGGCUUUUACAUGCCUGAAUAUGUUCCAGUCAUUAACAAAAAGCUCUAUAUUGUAAUCACAGCAAUGUAUUUGUCAUUGAAAUUCUACUCAGUAUUGAUCCAGAGUAGAUUCCAGCGUAAUGUUAGCAGAGUAAAAACUUAAACACAUUGCGGGAUUCCCCAAAAAUAGACCAGAGGCAAUUAAUAUUUCAUCCAGCAGAGCUUUACUGCUACUGAAGGCAAAUGAACAUAAUGGUAACAAAUCCAAUACAUUCAGGAUUGGCACUGUCCAUAAGAAAUCCAGUUGCAGCAGACUUAACUUAAACUUACAGUACAAUAACAUAAAAUAAGACUAAACCUUAACACGAUAUACAGAACACCACACCAGAAGGGAAAGAGAUAGAAAGAGUGAAACCCAGUCUCCUUCUGGCCUUACUUUUAUAAUCAACAUGACCUUGACAGAAGAGAUAAGAGAACCAGUUUGGAGAGGUUUGAUCUUCUCCCUGUCCACGGGACUCUCAAGAGUCUUCUCCAGCACCAUAAUUCAAAAGCAUCAAUUCUUCUGCGAUCAGCCUUCUUUAUGGUCCAGCUCUCACUUCCAUACAUCACUACUGGGAAAACCAUAGCUUUAACUAUACGGACCUUUGUUGGCAAGGUGAUGUCUCUGCUUUUUAUGAUGCUGUCUAGGUUUGUCCUUGCUUUUCACCCAAGAAGCAGGCGUCUUUUAAUUUCGUGGCUGCUGUCACCAUCUGCAGUGAUCAUUGAACCCAAGAAAGUAAAAUCUCUCACUGCCUCAAUUUCUUAUCCCUUCUAUUUGCCAGGAGGUGAUGGGAUUACUGAGGUACCAUAAAGCAAUUCAAGAGUCCCUGUGCUACUUGUGCUAACUUGUGCAGAUCUUGCAUUGCCGCCGACAAAUCCUCAAUCCCUCUGAGGCUUACCAAUUUGGCCUGGGAAUUAGGAUCCAUCCACAUCUGAUGCACACCUGUAGAAUACAACGAAACUGCAAAGACUGCUUUAUGACAAUGAUGGCCUCUUAAAACGUGACCCGUUGAACAUUGCAUAUUCCUGUGAAGUUAAGUGGAGGUCUCACGAUAUACCCAUGAAAUAUAAACUACAGUAGACUCUCCUAAUAUUUCCCAGUGGGCCCCUAUUCUUUUUGGAGCAGCCGAGGAACAGCCUUUUGAUGAAUCCAUUUACCGUUCUUGCAAAAUGUUUGAAUUGCUCAAAGCAGCUGGUGUUACAAAUCCAAACUGUCUCAUCUUGCAUGUUGUCAGCAUAGCAUGUCAGUAUGGAGGUUAUGAUUAGUAAACUGCAAGGAUGGAUGGCUGUUUUAAUAGGCAACCCCAUCUGGGACCACAGGUAUUAAACCUGAGCAUGGCACACUCAAGCAUUUUAGCGCUGUUGGAGUAUCCGAGACACUGAGCUCAUGAAUGGUAGUGGGGGGUCUUUUUUCUUAGAAUCUGAUUUUACAAAGUCAGCCACCUAUUAAUACUAUAAUGCCACAAGUUAGGUAAUAGCUCACUUAAUCUCUUGAUGGACAUGAUCAGUUUGUCUAAGAAUGUACAAGAAUUCUAACAAAAAUUCUUGCUGGAUCAGACUAAGAAUGAUAAGAAUACUAAUAAGAAUACUAAUAAGAAUAAUUUAUUAUUUAUACCCCGCCCAUCUGGCUAGGUUUCCCCAGCCACUCUGGACAGUUUCCCAACCAAAUAUUAAAAACACGAGAAAACAUCCAACAUAAACUACUUCCCUAUGCAGGACUGCCUUCAGAUGUCUUCUAAAAGUCAGAUAGUUGUUUAUUUCCUUGAGGUCUGAUGGGAGGGCGUUUCACAGGGUGGGCGCCACCACAGAGAAGGCCCUCUGCCUGGUUCCCUGUAACUGCAAAUGCAACACAUUGAAAGGGUCCUAAUGAAAAUUGGGACACGGGUGGCGCUGUGGUCUAAACCACUGAGCCUAGGGCUUGCCGAUCAGAAGGUCGGCGGUUCGAAUCCCCGUGACAGGGUGAGCUCCCGUUGCUCUGUCCCAGCUCCUGCCAACCUAGCAGUUCAAAAGCAUGUCAAAGUGCAAAUAGAUAAAUAGGUACCGCUCCAGUGGGAAGGUAAAUGGCGUUUCUGUGAACUGCUCUGGUUUCACCGGAAGUGGUUUAGUCAUGCUGGUCACAUGACCUGGAAAAACUGUCUGCAGACAAACGCUGGCUUGCUCGGCCAGUAAAGUGAAAUGAGCACUGCAACCCCAGUCAUUCACGACUGGACUUAACUGUCAGGGGUCCUUUACCUUUACCUAAUGAAAUUUUCACUUGAAUGAAGAACAAAGGUUAAAGCAGCAUUGACCGCACAGGUCCCUAUUGUCAGCUUUCUAAGCAGAUGACUAGAUGUAUCAUGACAGGUGCCCCUCAACCAGUUGUCUCCUCAAGCUUAGCAUCCUGGAUCAUUGGCCUCUAAAUCCAGCCCUGGCAGUUGAACUGUGCAAACUGUUUUAGCAGUUCAAGCUACUAGAGACCACUGGUGUAUUGUUUUCAUGCAGCGAAACAAGCAGCAAUUGAAAGUGACAUCUGACAGACUUUGGGAAAACAUGAUUGGCUUUUGUUUACUCAUUUAAUGCCAACAGAAAGAUGAUGAAUGAUCCCCGCUGAGGUUGGCGAAAGCUACGUGAAGGUGAUGAAUUUGCAAUUCUCGAAAUGUGAAAACGUUCCAUCCCCAAAGUUCUAGGGAGAUUAAUUUAGUUGAAAAGAGGACUCUAUUUGUUACUUGCAGAGGUAUGUCUUGAGUAGGGAAAAAGAUGACAUGGGGAAUCAUAAAUGCUCACCAGGCAGUGUGGGUAGGAAGGAAGGCUAUGAGGAUUUACAGCCUGAGAUGUUAGUGAUGGUGGUAGAGGAGG